rnacentral:rRNA from 1 species
ACUACGGGAGGCUGCAGUGGGGAAUAUUGGGCAAUGGGCGCAAGCCUGACCCAGCAACGCCGCGUGAAGGAAGAAGGCUUUCGGGUUGUAAACUUCUUUUCUCAGGGACGAAGAAAGUGACGGUACCUGAGGAAUAAGCCACGGCUAACUACGUGCCAGCAGCCGCGGUAAUACGUAGGUGGCAAGCGUUAUCCGGAUGUAUUGGGGGUAAAGGGCGUGUAGGCGGGAGCGCAAGUCAGAUGUGAAAACUCAGGGCUCAACCCUGAGCCUGCAUUUGAAACUGUGUUUCUUGAGUGCUGGAGAGGCAAUCGGAAUUCCGUGUGUAGCGGUGAAAUGCGUAGAUAUACGGAGGAACACCAGUGGCGAAGGCGGAUUGCUGGACAGUAACUGACGCUGAGGCGCGAAAGCGUGGGGAGCAAACAGGAUUAGAUACCCCAGUAGUC